CACGUAGGGGGCGAGCGUUGUCCGGAUUUAUUGGGCGUAAAGAGCUCGUAGGCGGCUUUGUCAGUCGGGUGUGAAACCUCCAGGCUCAACCUGGAGCCGCCACCCGAUACUGCAAUAGCUAGAGUCCGGUAGGGGAGCAUGGAACUCCUGGUGUAGCGGUGAAAUGCGCAGAUAUCAGGAAGAACACCAGUGGCGAAGGCGGUGCUCUGGGCCGGAACUGACGCUGAGGAGCGAAAGCGUGGGGAGCAAACAGGAUUAGAUACCCUGGUAGUCCACGCCGUAAACGUUGGGCACUAGGUGUGGGUCUCAACCAACGAGAUCCGUGCCGAAGCUAACGCAUUAAGUGCCCCGCCUGGGGAGUACGGCCGCAAGGCUAAA
rnacentral:rRNA from 1 species